UACGUAGGGUGCAAGCGUUAUCCGGAAUUAUUGGGCGUAAAGAGCUCGUAGGCGGUUUGUCGCGUCUGCUGUGAAAACUGGAGGCUCAACCUCCAGCCUGCAGUGGGUACGGGCAGACUAGAGUGCGGUAGGGGAGAUUGGAAUUCCUGGUGUAGCGGUGGAAUGCGCAGAUAUCAGGAGGAACACCGAUGGCGAAGGCAGAUCUCUGGGCCGUAACUGACGCUGAGGAGCGAAAGCAUGGGGGAGC
rnacentral:rRNA from 1 species